rnacentral:rRNA from 1 species
CAUGUAGGCGGAUAUGUAGGUCAGAUGUGAAAGCCCUUGGCUCAACCAAGGAAGUGCAUCUGAAACCCCGUAUCUUGAGUAUGACAGAGGGAAGUGGAAUUUCCAGUGUAGAGGUGAAAUUCAUAGAUAUUGAAAGAACACCGGUGGCGAAGGCGGCUUUCUGGGUCAUUACUGACGCUGAGAUGCGAAAGCGUGGGGAGCAAACAGGAUUAGAUACCCUGGUAGUCC